UACUACCGAAGCUACGGCAUCAGUAAUGAUGGGUAGGGGAGCUUCCCAUACGGGUUGAAGCAUGACCGUAAGGACAUGUGGACAGUAUGGGAGUGAGAAUGUUGGCAUGAGUAGCGAGAUGUGGGUGAGAAUCCCACAGGCCGUAAACCCAAGGUUUCCAGGGGAAGGUUCGUCCGCCCUGGGUUAGUCGGGACCUAAGCUGAGGCCGAAAGGCGUAGGUG
rnacentral:rRNA from 1 species